CACUGUAAAGCUAUCUAGCAUUAACCUUUUAAGUUAAAGACCGAGAGCACCCCUCCCUCUCUACAGUGA
rnacentral:tRNA from 2 species